rnacentral:rRNA from 1 species
UACAGAGGGUGCAAGCGUUAAUCGGAAUUACUGGGCGUAAAGCGUGCGCAGACGGUUGUGCAAGACCGAUGUGAAAUCCCCGGGCUUAACCUGGGAAUGGCAUUGGUGACUGCACGGCUAGAGUGUGUCAGAGGGGGGUAGAAUUCCACGUGUAGCAGUGAAAUGCGUAGAGAUGUGGAGGAAUACCGAUGGCGAAGGCAGCCCCCUGGGAUAACACUGACGCUCAUGCACGAAAGCGUGGGGAGCAAACAGG